AUACUUAGGGUGCAAGCGUUAAUCGGAAUUACUGGGCGUAAAGCGCUCGUAGGCGGCUUGUAAAGUCGGAUGUGAAAUCCCCGGGCUCAACCUGGGAACUGCAUUCGAUACUGGCAGGCUAGAGUAUAGUAGAGGCAAGUGGAAUUUCGGGUGUAGCGGUGAAAUGCGUAGAUAUCCGAAGGAACAUCAGUGGCGAAGGCGACUUGCUGGACUAAUACUGACGCUGAGGAGCGAAAGCGUGGGGAGCAAACGGGAUUAGAUACCCCAGUAGUCC
rnacentral:rRNA from 1 species